rnacentral:rRNA from 1 species
CAGCUGCUAAUACCGGAUAUGAACCUCCUCGGCAUCGUAGAGGUUGGAAAGCUCCGGCGGUCUGGGAUGGACUCGCGGCCUAUCAGCUGUUGUGGGGUAAUGGCUACCAAGGCGACACGGGUAGCCGGCCUGAGAGGGUGAUCGGCCACACUGGGACUGAGACAGGCCCAGACUCCUACGGGAGGCAGCAGUGGGGAAUAUUGCACAAUGGGCGCAAGCCUGAUGCAGCGACGCCGCGUGGGGGAUGACGGUCUUCGGAUUGUAAACCCCUUUCAGUAGGGACGAAGCGCAAGUGACGGUACCUGCAGAAGAAGCACCGGCCAACUACGUGC